GACGAACGCUGGCGGCGUGCUUAACACAUGCAAGUCGAACGAAGAGCGAUGGAAGCUUGCUUCUAUCAAUCUUAGUGGCGAACGGGUGAGUAACGCGUAAUCAACCUGCCCUUCAGAGGGGGACAACAGUUGGAAACGACUGCUAAUACCGCAUACGAUCCAAUCUCGGCAUCGGGACUGGAUGAAAGGUGGCCUCGAUUUAUAAGCUAUCACUGAAGGAGGGGAGUGCGUCUGAUAAGCUAGUUGGAGGGGUAACGGCCCAACAAGGCGAUGAUCAGUAGCCGGUCUGAGAGGAUGGACGGCCACAUUGGGACUGGGACACGGCCCAGACUCCUACGGGAGGCAGCAGUGGGGGAUCUUCCGACAUGGACGGAAGUCUGACGGAGCAACGCCGCGUGGGUGAUGACGGCCUUCGGGUUGUAAAGCUCUGUUAAUCGGGACGAAUGGUUCUUGUGCGAAUAGUGCGAGGAUUUGACGGUACCGGAAUAGAAAGCCACGGCUAACUACGUG
rnacentral:rRNA from 1 species